AUUGAACGCUGGCGGCAUGCCUUACACAUGCAAGUCGAACGGUAACGCGGGGCAACCUGGCGACGAGUGGCGAACGGGUGAGUAAUGCAUCGGAACGUGCCCAGUAGUGGGGGAUAGCCCGGCGGAAGCCGGAUUAAUACCGCAUACGACCUACGGGUGAAAGCGGGGGACCGUAAGGCCUCGCGCUAUUGGAGCGGCCGAUGUCAGAUUAGGUUGUUGGUGGGGUAAAGGCCCACCAAGCCGACGAUCUGUAGCUGGUCUGAGAGGACGACCAGCCACACUGGGACUGAGACACGGCCCAGACUCCUACGGGAGGCAGCAGUGGGGAAUUUUGGACAAUGGGGGCAACCCUGAUCCAGCCAUGCCGCGUGCGGGAAGAAGGCCUUCGGGUUGUAAACCGCUUUUGUCAGGGAAGAAACGCUCUGGGCUAAUACCCCGGGGUAAUGACGGUACCUGAAGAAUAAGCACCGGCUAACUACGUGCCAGCAGCCGCGGUAACAC
rnacentral:rRNA from 1 species